rnacentral:rRNA from 1 species
UGGAUGAGCCCGCACUUGAUUAGUUUGUUGGUAGGGUAAUGGCCUACCAAGACUAUGAUCAAUAGCUGAUUUGAGAGGAUGAUCCCCCACACUGGUACUGAGACACGGACCAGACUCCUACGGGAGGCAGCAGUGAGGAAUAUUGCACAAUGGAGGAAACUCUGAUGCAGCCAUGCCGCGUGCAGGAUGAAGGCCCUAUGGGUUGUAAACUGCUUUUUUACAAGAAGAAACCUUGGUACGUGUACCAACUUGACGGUAUUGUAAGAAUAAGCACCGGCUAACUCCGUGCCAGCAGCCGCGGUAAUACGGAGGGUGCAAGCGUUAUCCGGAUUUAUUAGGUUUAAAGGGUUCGCAGGCGGAAUUUUAAGUCAGUGGUGAAAGCCUACAGCUCAACUGUAGAACUGCCAUUGAAACUGAUAUUCUUGAGUAUAGAUGAAGUGGGCGGAAUAUGUCAUGUAGCGGUGAAAUGCAUAGAUAUGACAUGGAACACCAAUUGCGAAGGCAGCUCACUAAACUAUUACUGACGCUCAUGAACGAAAGCGUGGGGAGCAAACAGGAUUAGAUACCCUGGUAGUCCACGCCGUAAACUAUGAUCACUAGAUGUUGGCGAUAUAUUGUCAGUGUUUUAGAGAAAUCGUUAAGUGAUCCACCUGGGGAGUACGUUCGCAAGAAUGAAACUCAAAGGAAUUGACGGGGGCCCGCACAAGCGGAGGAGCAUGUGGUUUAAUUCGAUGAUACGCGAGGAACCUUACCAAGACUUAAAUGUAUUUUGACAGGUUGAGAAAUCAACUUUUCUUCGGACAAUUUACAAGGUGCUGCAUGGUUGUCGUCAGCUCGUGCCGUGAGGUGUCGGGUUAAGUCCCAUAACGAGCGCAACCCCUAUUUUUAGUUACCAGCGAGUCAUGUCGGGAACUCUAGAAAGACUGCCUGUGUAAACAGUGAGGAAGGUGGGGAUGACGUCAAAUCAUCACGGCCCUUAUGUCUUGGGCUACACACGUGCUACAAUGGUCACUACAGUGGGCUGCCAUCUGGCAACAGAGAGCAAAUCCAUAAAGGUGAUCCCAGUUCGGAUCGGAGUCUGCAACUCGACUCUGUGAAGUUGGAUUCGCUAGUAAUCGUAUAUCAGCAAUGAUACGGUGAAUACGUUCCCGGGCCUUGUACACACCGCCCGUCA